rnacentral:rRNA from 1 species
ACGGCGAGUGAAGCGGCAACAGCUCAAAUUUGAAAUCUGGCCCUUUCAGGGUCCGAGUUGUAAUUUGCAGAGGGUGCUUUGGCGUUGGCGGCGGUCUAAGUUCCUUGGAACAGGACAUCGCAGAGGGUGAGAAUCCCGUAUGUGGUCGCAUGCCUUCGCCGUGUAAAGCCCCUUCGACGAGUCGAGUUGUUUGGGAAUGCAGCUCUAAAUGGGAGGUAAAUUUCUUCUAAAGCUAAAUACCGGCCAGAGACCGAUAGCGCACAAGUAGAGUGAUCGAAAGAUGAAAAGCACUUUGGAAAGAGAGUCAAACAGCACGUGAAAUUGUUGAAAGGGAAGCGCUUGCAGCCAGACUUGCCUGUAGUUGCUCACCUGGGCUUUUGCCCGGGGCACUCUUCUGCAGGCAGGCCAGCAUCAGUUUGGGCGGUCGGAUAAAGGCCUCUGACACGUACUUCCUUUCGGGGUUGACAUAUAGGGGAGGCGUAAUGCGACCAGCCUGGACUGAGGUCCGCGCAUCUGCUAGGAUGCUGGCGUAAUGGCUGUAAGCGGCCCGUCUUGAAACACGGACCAAGGAGUCUAACAUCUAUGCGAGUGUUUGGGUGUCAAGCCCGAGCGCGCAAUGAAAGUGAACGGAGGUGGGAACCCUUCGGGGCGCACCAUCGACCGAUCCUGAUGUCUUCGGAUGGAUUUGAGUAAGAGCAUAGCUGUUGGGACCCGAAAGAUGGUGAACUAUGCUUGAAUAGGGUGAAGCCAGAGGAAACUCUGGUGGAGGCUCGCAGCGGUUC